GUAAUGGUGGCUGGUGGCGGCUGGUGCUGGCCAUGGCUGCUGGUGGUGUCUGCAGGUAGUGGCUGCUGGUGGCGACUGUUGACGGUGUGCCGGGAACGGAGAGGCCGAAUACAUCCAUGGCAACCAGUAAGGUGUUCGGCAGGGACCUAGAUGGUAUGACCUUAGGUGAGGAAGUCUGCUGUGUGGAAAUUGCCUUCUUGGUCUGACUCUUGCUGCCAAGGUACCCCUUAUUACGGCUGUUUGCCUUCCUCUCAGCUCCGAUGCACUUUGAGUGAAUCCUUAACCUCAGCCUGAUAUAUGUUGAAAGGAUUUUUUUUUUCAGCUCAUGGCAUGAGGGAAGGUUGCUAUCCAGACUCAUGGCCUCUCUUUCCAGCUGUUCCACUACGUUGGAGGAUUCCAUAAGGGAAUCACUCGUCUUGGAACGGAACAGCUGCUCCACGUGCUGCAGGAGAGUGAACAGCUCAUCGGAUGGCCGGCAUAAUGCACCCCUUUUAAAUUCCUUUAACUGUAGUAAAACAGCUCUCUCACUUGUUGUGUUGGUUACUUUUUCAACCAGUGCACACUGGCAUUCCUCACAGAGCGAGAAGCCGAUGACCCUCUUCGCUAUGUAUCCUGCCAGGUGGUAGAGGACACAAGACUCUGUCUUUGUGAGGUCAGGUGGUGAUGGGUCUACCAGCUGCUCCACUCUCACAACCUCAGAAGCACGGCAGUUGCUGUUCUGGCUGUCCAAGAAGUCCGCCAAGUGGUCUGAUGCAUCAUCCAGAUCUUGCUGGACCUCCAGUAUUGUUGUUGUGGCCAUCACCAGUCCUGUCUGGACUGGUUUCCAGCUGCCCUGGGGACCGAUCUUCAGGCCCUGAAAAAGAUGGAUCGAGUCACGGAGGAAGCUGAUGGCCUUUUCAUACUCUUCCAUCUUGAAGUGACUGAGGGCAGUGACAACAUUGCGGGACGACAUGAGGUCAAACCAGUGGUCCAUCUUAUCCAAAAACCAUGCCGUUGUAAGGCUCUAGGACACCUCUGGACAAAUUGGGUGCCAGCUUAAGUGCCAUGCCCUCUUGGAAGGACACCAGAUCCUUUAAAGGGGAAACAGAGACCUCACUGGACGCCAGCUGCUCCUUUUCCACCACAUCCAGAGGUAUGGUGAUGAUGUGACCACGGAUAAUGGCACUCUUCAAGUUUUUGACGAGAUGAGGAACGUCAGGCAUGAAAUGGAGGCGCUGGUUUGGCUCAACAGGAUGCUGGAUCCAUGGUUUGUCAUAGGUCACCCCAAAGGACUUCCACAUUGCUCUAUUGGGGCUCCCCAUGUCUGUGGUGAUGUUAAGCACAUGAAGCCCUACAGAUGCUGCUGCUUCAACAAUGCGGACUAUGAUGGGCCGGUAAACUGCACCAUUGGUGGAAUUGCCGCUGUAGUGGUAAGCCACGACUUGUUUCCACCGCGUUGUAGCUCCAGCCAGCAUAAACACCAGUGCAUGCGUCGCUUGUCCUUGGUGGCCGGGCAGCGUGAUGUUGCCAAAUAGCCUCCCCGUUCCCAGAUGGAGCUCCACGCCUGGAGUAAUGGACAUUUCAUCUAAGGAAAGCACACACUCUCUCUCCAUUUCACUCAUGCCACCUGCCUUCAGCCUCAGCAUCUCAAACACUUCCCCCAAAACUCCCGGCUCCAGCUUUACAUGUUGCAUCCUCCUUUGCAGCGUGCGGAUGUUAGGCAGUGGAAUCUGCAUUUGCUGGAGGGUUUUAUAACCGGUGGUGCCAGCAGUAAAUCUUAUUUUUAUAGCUUUUUUAAUUGUCUCCUUUCCCCACCGUAUUCCUCUCUUCUUUUCCUGUCCAAGGGCUGUCAUUUGGUCUCUGUUCAAAAUUUGGGUGAACUUCUGAUUAACUAAAUUGUUCCUCUUGCUUAACGCCAAAUUAAUUCUUUUUUGCUGUGCUAGAGCCCUCUCUGCUCUCCUUCUCAUUAACUUCUCCAUUUUAAGUUGCCUUAUUAGGUCCUCCACAAUUGCACUAUUAUACCCUGGCAGUCUGGUCCCUGGAGCACCUGGCCCUGGCAAAGUUGGUUCGUCGUUGCUGGCUCCUGACUGACUGGCCCUCGGCACACACAUCCCUGGAUCACCUGCCCCUGGUAAAGUGGCCUCUUGGUAGCUCUCUCUGUCUCCUGUCAUGUCCCUUUCCUUGCCCUCAAAAUCCACCUCAAUUUCUCCCUCAACCUCUGUAACAAUAACAAGGUAAUGUUGCUGUUAUAUGUAUUUUGCCUUUGCAUUUGCACCUACUGUUAUCUUCAAUAUAAGGGUACACUACACUCCUAUAGAAAAUAAAUUAAAGCGAAACAUUACUGUAAUGAAAUCAUUUGAUUACAUUACUGUAAUCAAAUCAUCUGCCACAAUCAGAAACCAAAAAAAAUGUAUAAACUCAUCUACUGGCAAUGGUUAAAUUGGUAGAAAUUUGUAGAUUAUCUACAUUCUGUAUGCAAAUCCUCAGAGAAUCCCUGAAGCUGGAUGUACUAAUUUGAAUGUAAUGUCUCAUUAGGAGUGUAGUCUAUCCUUGAAUUACAUUAAAUGGGGAAUAUUGUUGCAUUGUUGCUGCAUGUGUCAUACCAAAGUUUAAUUUGCCGUAUGUGUGGUCUGUUAUACUUUGGGUUGGUGCUGGAGGCACCCUUCCAGAAGGGGGUUUCCUCCACUUCGGCUUAGGCCGAUGAAGGAAUAUUGUUGGCACAGCAUCUGGCCUCAACUUCAACUUGCCUCCGGUUUUUGUGGCAGUGAAUUGGUCAUCUUCAAAGUGUACCUGAAGGUGGGCUUGUAAGAUCAGUUUCCAUUGCACUUCAGAUAUUAGCAGUCAUAAUUCUCUACACUUAGAAAUAUGAUGCCCUUUGAAAUGCUUGCAAGUGAUGCCACCUCUGAACAUUACUUACAUGACACAGUUUUCGGCUGUUGCUGGUCCCGGUCAUUUGCAGGUUUUUGCGGCUGACCAUUGUCAUCCAUAUUUUCAUCCGAUCUUUGUCCUUGGGGAAGCCAUACAUGCGGUAACCCUUCUCAGACCGAUUGGUGCAUCCAAAUGCUGCACAGCCAACCAUGGUAUGACCACUGAUCUACAAAAUGUUAGUUGUAACCAAUGAACCACGACACCAUUGAACAUCACAGAGAGCGGGUGACAACUUUUCCUCAACCACCUGCCCUCUGACUUUUGAGAAUAGGUCAGAGAGGUCAGAGUUCAUAACCAAACAAGGAUCCUCCCUCCCUCUCUCUCCUCAACCACUUUUGAAUUUGCUCAGGGCUAUUAUAAGUGUGGUAAAGUAUAGUAUAUUUGCGACGUUAUAAUAUGUUGUGAAUGGUUUGCCCUAUAUAUAGUGUUACCUGCUGUGUCCAUUGUUGAAUCUAUUGUCGCCCUAUUUCGCUUUAUCUGCUUUUUAGUGUCCAGGACACAGAUGAAGAGGAUGUUAGUAUGCGUUGUCGAGAGGAACUGCCCUACAGUGACUGGCCAUAGUGCAUAGUGGAACUCCACAGGUGUGAGUCUGAUGUAUGCAAGAGAAAGUAUUUUCUAGGCAGUCCUGAGUGAACUGGCUUGUUAGAAUAUAUUUUUGCCCCUGUCUCAACAGAUCUUGCUGGACCACCAGUAUCGUUGUUGUGGCCACUGUACGUAUGUUUGUUGAUCUUAUUCAUGCUUGUUCCCAUUUUUUUUUGUUCCACACUGUUCAUUUUUAUCUUAUGCCAGGUACCUUUAUUAUGAAUGUUGUCCUUCCUUUCAGCCCUGAGGCAUUCUGAAGCCUGAUGUAUGUGGAGGAUUUUUUUAAUGUAUUAAUCACUUAUAAUAUUCCUCCCUGUUCCUUCACUUUGUUCUUGUUUUUCCAGUUAGAUACACACAUUUACACACACACACACACACAUCUUGUUGUCUCACUCAGUAUUUUUUAUUAAACAAUAUUUGAUUCAUUCAUCCAAGCUUAA